GAUCGUCAUUACUUAAAAUUUUGGCAUUUAUUGGUAAUCCUGCAAUUCCGAUCUUGAUGGCAUUGCGUAUAUGGUCUUUAAAGGACAUAUCUUGUUUUAUCUUCAAACUAGUGAAAAUUGAAGGUGAAAAAGCAAAUGUGUGAUCGUUAAGGAAUAGUCUGUUUUUCUCUGGUUACGUGGUUUUUUUAUUGCAAUACCCAGCGGCAAAAAAGGGAAGGAAAGAGUUAAAAGAAUGCCACAAGGUAUAUGUAUACCUGACAACGUCAUUAAAGGUGGGGUAAGAAUAAUAUGACCCUUGUAAUUAUCAAUACCAUAGGCUAGUGGCGUGCAGGAGGGGGACAAAAAUUCUCAUAAAAUGAGGACAAAACAAAACAACCAGCAGUAGUUCAAGUGAUGGAUCCCAGAUAAAGUUCCAUCUCCAAGCAUUAUGAAAUCAAAAUGAGUCAUUGUUUGACUCUUAUCUCACUUCUCACUUCUCUCACAAUUUCAUCAUGCUUCAGAAGCAUAAUGAAAUCAAAUUGAGUCAUUGUUUGACUCUUCUUGAUUUCAUAAUGCUUGGAUGUGGAACUUUAUCUGGGAUCCAUUACUUGAACUACUGCUGGUGUCUUCAGUGAAUCAUGGAAAACUCUUCAGGUGAGAAAGAUUAAAGUUUAUGUGCGUAUAUAUUGUAGAAACCCAGGCACAAGUCGGUGGAUUGAGACGUUAGUAGGAGACUUAGAACAUUAGCAAUAACAUAAGAUAAUUGAAGUCACCAGCUUGGCCGAGUGGUUAAGUCGCCAGACUUAAGUUUUCGUCUCUUUAUAGAGACGUGAGUGCGAUUCUCACACCUGGUAGCUUUCUUGUCCUUAUCAAAUGUGAAAGGUGAGGUUGUAAUCUCCGUAUUCCAUUUGUACACACUGAGAAAGAGAUGACAUGGUCAUGAGCGAGAUGUUACCUUUCUUCAAGCGCAUCUGUGUUUAACAUCUGCAGGAAUUAAAAAAAAAAUAGUCCAUAAACAGCUUAAUUAUGUGUUACACGUCAUUAAACGUCCGCUCGGGAUCGUAUCGACCCCUCUCAACAUGCGCAGCAUUUACCUCUUCAUGAUAAUUGGUUCUGUGUGGCCUGUUUCUAAAUGGAUGGUGCGAAGAGGAAGUUGGCGAAACCGAUCAGAUAAUCAGCGCUUAUCGCGUUCCCAAUAAUAGAAUUUAUCCCCACCUGAGGAACCGAUUACGACAAGAAACAUUUAAGUGCUCUGGUACUUUAGUUGGGCAAAGAAAAGUUUUAACAGCCGCUUUGUACUUUGAACGGUUUGAUUCGAAUACAUUUCAGCCAACCUUUUUCACACCUGUCGCACGGAUGAAGACAGAAAUUCUAGGCGGUCCGUACACAAUAUGGUGGAACGUUAUCCGUGUCGUUAAGCAUAUCCGCAGAACAAUCCAGCAAACGCCGGUAAUUACGACAAUAUUGCCGUUGUUAUACUGGACUUAGAAGUGCUCGCCAGCUCGGUCACUCCCGUCCAGUUGGGGUACACAUUAUUCCCGAGAAUCGGAAUUGAUCAGUUGGUCACCGUCGGCUGGGGCAACUCAGCAACUACGGUAUCGACGACGGAUUCUUAUGACACGAAAGUCUUAUUCACACCUAACGUAUCAACUGUAACUUAACUCAUCAAGGGGUUAACGAAAUGUCUUCUCAUAAUUUGGCUCAAGCGGAUAAACAACGCAUUGAGUUUGAGACAACAGUUUGCCAUCUUCGAAGACAAGCACCUUUGAUUUGUCAUUUAGGGUGCGUUUUAUCGUCAACUUUAUGGCAACAGGUUUCGCCACGAUAAAAAAAAAAUAAUUUUUUUCACCCCCCUUUUUUUUUCUAAUCGCGGCCAUCUAGCGCUCGAUUUUUAACUCGGUUUCCUAAGUCAUUUGAGAAAAUAUUUUAAAAGAGUGUCACGUUGAUCAGUCUCUCCAACUGCAUUCAACUGUUCAUAUUGCUGAGUCUAUCAUAUUGCAAGCCUAUUAAUUGCCUUUUAUUCAGUGUGGCAUUGCAGUCCAAGUGUCCACAUUUGCUGAGCCUAUCCGACAGCAUUCCAGUGUCCACCUUGCUGAACCUAUCCAACAGCAUUCAAGUGUUCACUAAAGCCCUCGAUCGACGUCAACAAGAUCUCAUAAACAAUAUUCAACGAGAAAAUGUAAUUCCAGAACAAGCACACGAAAUUGAUCGACGUCAAGGACAAGUUCUCAUGUGUAUCGUUCUGCAAUGCCACCGUACUCUAGGAAAACAUAACGAAGCAGAGAAACUUUAAGAAGCUAUCACAAAAAUGGUUUCUCAAGAACAUCUAGAUCGAAAAAUCGCUACUUUAGUACUCGAUCACCAUCAAGAAGUUCUCUUAAAAAUGGUUCACUGAGUAAUUUCAGAAACAACUCAAGGAGAAGAUCGACGUCAAGGUCAAGUUCUGACAUGUCUGCUUUCAUAAGACCAUUGUAUUGUAGGGAAAGAUCACGAACAUCGGGAGAACAACUAAGUCGAGAAAACGCUACACAAGUAGUCCCACAACAUGAAGAGAAUAUCAUAAAUACGGCUCACUGAGGAAAUCUAAUUCCAGAAAAAUCUCUUGGAGUAGAUCGACGUCAAGAUCAAGUUCUUAUAUGUCUCUUUCAACCAAUCAAAAUUACUAGAGAAAAAGAUCACGAAGUAGAUCGACGUCAAGGGCAUGUUCCAAUUUCUUUCGUUCUACAAGACCAUCAAAAUCCUCAAUAAUUCCUCCAACUCACGAAAACUUUACAAUUCCCUCUGGCCUAUUCGAUAUAACUCAAUAAAACUUUUCAUCGCAAGAAGAACUUCUAAAAUAUUAGAAAAAAGUUGGUUGUACAAUUGUUUCAGGGAGGGUCUUCAAAACAAUGAUUCCUCUAUCAUCAGAGGUAAUUGAAAUAAUAGAAGAACCUCAAAAUAUGGAGCCUGUUUUGCCAAGUUAUGAUGUUGAACUGCAACAAAAUGCUUUGUAUGACGAUGUGUUUGGAACUGUAAACGGUAAAUAUUCUAUUCGAGAAUGUUUCAUAGAAACUUGUGUUUCUGAAAGAAACCAGACAGCAGGUUGAAACAGCUUUGUCGGAAGAGAAAGUUGAAGAAAUCGAUUCAAGGCAGUUGAAAAUUGUUAUUAAUUUAUUAUUAGAGUGUGUCAAAUCUUUGCGCUGUCUGGUGUACUUAGAAAAUUUGCAAGACGAUGUAACAACACAAUACAAAGUCGAUCGAUGUGAA
rnacentral:tRNA from 1 species